rnacentral:rRNA from 1 species
GACGAACGCUGGCGGCGUGCCUAACACAUGCAAGUCGAACGGAAGUAAGUGCUUCGGUAUUUACUUUAGUGGCGAACGGGUGAGUAACGCGUGAGGAACCUGCCUUUCAGUGGGGGACAACAGUUAGAAAUGACUGCUAAUACCGCAUAAGACCACAGCACCGCAUGGUGCAGGGGUAAAAACUCCGGUGGUAUGAGAUGGAUCCGCGUCUGAUUAGCUAGUUGGUAAGGUAACGGCUUACCAAGGCAACGAUCAGUAGCCGACCUGAGAGGGUGACCGGCCACAUUGGGACUGAGACACGGCCCAA